rnacentral:lncRNA from 1 species
UAAUGCAAAAAUGUAUUAUUUAAUUUUAAUAUCUUAAAGCAGAUGUUUUUGAUACAAAAAUUUGUCUGUGCAAUAUUUAAACGUAAAUUUUGUUUAUUUAUCAUCAUUUAUCUCCAAAAUCAUGAUAUACGUGAUAUUCACCAUUACAUCGAAUUAUUUUUUAAAAUUUUUCUCUCUUUCUUAUUUAUUUAUGCUUACAACAAUAUUGACCAUUACAUCAGAUUAUCUCUAACAACUUUGUAUUCAAAUUUUUUUCAUUUCAAGUCAUCAAAUGGGUCAUUUGACCAAGUUUGAC